GAUGAACGCUGGCGGCGUGCCUAAUACAUGCAAGUCGAGCGAACAGACGAGGAGCUUGCUCCUCUGACGUUAGCGGCGGACGGGUGAGUAACACGUGGAUAACCUACCUAUAAGACUGGGAUAACUUCGGGAAACCGGAGCUAAUACCGGAUAAUAUAUUGAACCGCAUGGUUCAAUAGUGAAAGACGGUUUUGCUGUCACUUAUAGAUGGAUCCGCGCCGCAUUAGCUAGUUGGUAAGGUAACGGCUUACCAAGGCGACGAUGCGUAGCCGACCUGAGAGGGGGAUCGGCCACACUGGAACUGAGACACGGUCCAGACUCCUACGGGAGGAAGCAGUAGGGAAUCUUCCGCAAUGGGCGAAAGCUUGACGGAGCAACGCCGCGUGAGUGAUGAAGGUCUUCGGAUCGUAAAACUCUGUUAUUAGGGAAGAACAAAUGUGUAAGUAACUAUGCACGUCUUGACGGUACCUAAUCAGAAAGCCACGGCUAACUACGUG
rnacentral:rRNA from 1 species